GUCACAGGCAGCCCUCCUUACAUUGCUCAAGAACAUUAGAAGGAUUAAUCAUUUAUGGAUUAUCUCCUAGAAACAAUGAUCUGGUGCAGACAGGAAGACAUUGUCUGCCUGCCAGCUUGAAACGUGUAAAUUGCUGGAAUUUGCAUCAAAAAUAUGACAGCUCUUCUCUGACAAAGAUCCAGUUCUUCCUCAAGUGAGGAUGUGAUUUCAUGGGAGACGGACUAUCCUUUUCUUCUACGAUUAAUGCCUUCUUGGCUGCACAGAAAUGAAACGUUACAUUUCAAAUA
rnacentral:lncRNA from 1 species